ACGGGUGGAGUAACGCGUAUGCAACCUACCUAUCAGAGGGGAAUAACCCGGCGAAAGUCGGACUAAUACCGCAUAAAACAGGGGCACCGCAUGGUGAUAUUUGUUAAAGAAAUUCGCUGAUAGAUGGGCAUGCGUUCCAUUAGGUAGUUGGUGAGGUAACGGCUCACCAAGCCGACGAUGGAUAGGGGAACUGAGAGGUUGGUCCCCCACACUGGUACUGAGACACGGACCAGACUCCUACGGGAGGCAGCAGUGAGGAAUAUCGGUCAAUGGGCGAGAGCCUGAACCAGCCAAGUCGCGUGAAGGAAGAAGGAUCUAUGGUUCGUAAACUUCUUUUGCAGGGGGAAUAAAGUGCAGGACGUGUCCUGUUUUGUAUGUACCCUGAGAAUAAGGAUCGGCUAACUCCGUGCCAGCCGCCGC
rnacentral:rRNA from 1 species